rnacentral:rRNA from 1 species
UCAAGCUAUAAAGAGCGCAAGGGGAAUGCCUUGGCAUCAGGAGCCGAUGAAGGACGUGAUAAGCUGCGAUAAGCUUCGGGGAGCUGCAAAUGAGCUGUGAUCCGGAGAUUUCCGAAUGGGGAAACCCACCGCAAGGUAUCCCAUACUGAAUCAAAUAGGUAUGGGAGGGGAACCGCCUGAACUGAAACAUCUAAGUAGGGCGAGGAAAAGACAUCAACCGAGAUUCCGCGAGUAGUGGCGAGCGAAAGCGGAUCAGGCCAAACCGGAGGUAGCAAUAUCUCCGGGGUUACGGACAGCAACAUGAAGGAAGUUUUCUAAAAGAACGGCAUGGGAAGGCCGGCCAAAGAGUGUGAGAGCCACGUAUUUGAAAGAGAACUUUUGGAUAGCUGGAUCCAGAGUACCGCGGGACACGAGGAAUCCCGUGGGAAGUCGGGGGGACCACCCUCCAAGCCUAAAUACUACCUGAUGACCGAUAGAGGAGCAGUACCGUGAGGGAAAGGUGAAAAGAACCCCGGGAGGGGAGUGAAAGAGUACCUGAAACCUUGUGCUUACAAGCAGUCAAAGCCCGUUAAAGGGUGAUGGCGUACUUUUUGUAGAACGGUCCGGCGAGUUAUAGUAACUGGCGAGGUUAAGGUAUUGAGUACCGAAGCCGAAGGGAAACCGAGUGUGAAGAGCGCGAAUGAAGUCAGUUGCCAUAGACCCGAAACCAGGUGACCUAGCCAUGACCAGGCUGAAGUGGAGGUAAAGCUCCAUGGAGGGCCGAACCCACGUUCGUUGCAAUGACCGGGGAUGAGUUGUGGCUAGCGGUGAAAUUCCAAACGAACCUGGAGAUAGCUGGUUCUCCCCGAAAUAGUUUUAGGACUAGCGUUGGCAAUGAGUUUCGCGGUGGUAAAGCACUGAAUGGGCUAGGGGGCGAUAAGCUUACUGAACCCUAUCAAACUAAGAAUGCCGCAGAAAUGCUUACCAGCAGUCAGACUACGAGUAAUAAAAUCCGUGGUCAAAAGGGAAAUAGCCCAGACCCACAGCUAAGGUCCCGAAUACAUGCUAAGUGGAAAACGAUGUGAGAUUGCAGAAACAACCAGGAUGUUGGCUUAGAGGCAGCCACUCGUUCAAAGAGUGCGUAAUAGCUCACUGGUCGAGUGAUCUUGCGCGGAAAAUUUAACGGGGCUAAGCAUGUAACCGAAGCUUGGGAUUCACGAUUUUUCGUGAGUGGUAGGGGAGCGUCGAAUACGGGGUGAAGUCGCACCGGAAGGAGCGGUGGACUGUAUUCGAGUGAGAAUGCCGGAAUGAGUAGCGAGAAUUAUGUGGGAAUCAUAAUGGCCGAAAAUCUAAGGUUUCCUGGGGAAGGUUCGUCCGCCCAGGGUAAGCCGGGAGCUAAGGCGAGGCCGCAAGGCGUAGUCGAUGCACAUACGGUAGAAAUUCCGUAGCCGGUACAAUUGUUAAUCACGGUGACACAUGAGUAUAGCUCUACCGGGCGUUGGUAGCCCCGGGCGUAAGCGAGCCGAAUGAGGCGAAGUGAGUAAAGCUUGUGGCGAGAAAAGCCGUGAGGAUUGGUUGUACUGCCCGUACCGCAAACCGACACAGGUAGAUGAGGAGAAGAUCCUAAGGCCAACGGGAGAAGGGUUGUUAAGGAACUAGGCAAAUUGACCCCGUAACUUCGGAAUAAGGGGUGCCUACGAAAGUAGGUCGCAGAGAAUAGGCCCAAGCAACUGUUUACCAAAAACACAGGUCUCUGCUAAAUCGAAAGAUGACGUAUAGGGGCUGACGCCUGCCCGGUGCUGGAAGGUUAAGAGGAGAGCUUAGGGAAACCGAAGGUUCGAAUUGAAGCCCCAGUAAACGGCGGCCGUAACUAUAACGGUCCUAAGGUAGCGAAAUUCCUUGUCAGGUAAGUUCUGACCCGC